GCUUGGAGGCAGCAAUUCUGAUAGUGACUAACUUUACAGCUUCAAGGAAAUAGAGGAGGGGACUGCAACGACCUUCUUCAUGGUCAGCGGCAGCAAUACCGGCGACGACUCGGCCUGCAAUAGUGAACAGAUCGGGAGCAACGAGCUGUGCUCAACGUUGGCUUGCUUCUUCUCUCUUUUGUGCAAAACAGUGACGAGAUGACAAACAGAGGGAAUUUAUAGGAAGAGGAAAGGCGGUGCAGCGAGGCGGUGGAAGGCAGCGGCAAGAUGAUAUGCAUCGUAUAAAAGGGAGGAGUUUAAAAUGGCGACGGCAAUAACGUCGGUUGCGCUAGUGGCUGGCCGAACGAAGGAAAUCUGAAACAGUG
rnacentral:lncRNA from 1 species